CUGUGCCUUCGCAGCGGCGUCUGGGUCUCUGCAUCCUUUGUUGUUGAUGUUUGUUGAAGUACGUUUCGUGGAGCCGAGUGGAAUCGCGAUUGUGACUUUUAUGUUUAUAGAUGACGAUAGAUAGCUUUAAGUAGGAGGCAACUGACAACGAUGUGGCAAAGGCUUAUAGAUGACGAUAGAUAGCUUUAAGUAGUAGGCAACUGACAACGAUGUGGCAAAGGCGAAUGGAUGGAAUCUUGUUAUGGAAUUUGGCACCCAGCACACGAAACGUCCGGGUAAAUUGGAAAAUCU
rnacentral:lncRNA from 1 species